rnacentral:rRNA from 1 species
ACGUUAAUAGCGUGCUCGUUUGACGUUAGCUGCAAGAAGAAGCACCGGCUAACUCCGUGCCAGCAGCCGCGGUAAUACGGAGGGUGCGAGCGUUAAUCGGAAUUUACUGGGCGUAAAGCGCAUGCAGGUGGUUUGUUAAGUCAGAUGUGAAAGCCCCGGGGCUCAACCUCGGAAUUGCAUUUGAAACUGGCAGACUAGAGUACUGUAGAGGGGGUAGAAUUUCAGGUGUAGCGGUGAAAUGCGUAGAGAUCUGAAGGAAUACCGGUGGCGAAGGCGGCCCCCUGGACAGAUACUGACACUCAGAUGCGAAAGCGUGGGGAGCAAACAGGAUUAGAUACCCUGGGAA